GGCGUCAAAGUGGACGUUAUCCAUGUAAGUAACUAAAAACCAACUGUUUUUUCUUUGAAUUUUAGGUAAGGGUUUUAUGAUUUUCGGAUAAUGUUGUGCCGCACAGUGACAGUGCUGUGUGUCCCAUGUGCGACCCAAAUCUCGUUACUUUGACUGGUCUUCCUUGCUGAUUAGUGAUUUGUUUUGGUCGGCAAGUUAUUACAAUUUCAUUGUACCACGUUAUACUCUCUCCCUCGCUCUCUCUCACACCUGUCACCGUCUGGUGUCUAGUCUCUUCUAGUGCUAAAUCUC
rnacentral:misc_RNA from 1 species